UGUAUAAACUAACUUAAUCAGAUUGUGUAUUGUUGUACUAAGUCUAAUCUGCUUCUUCUUGUUUAUCUUCAGGUUACGUAAGACAUGGGCCACGACUAUAGCUAUUCCCAGCCUUCUUCAUCUGAUCUGGCUGAUAAGUACUCAGAGGACACUGCGGAUAGAGAGCUAGAUGCAUUGAUUCGUAUGGAUGAAGCAGAGUCUGGUAAGGUUGGAGAAUGUAGUUAAUGAGAUAUGUAAGGAAAAUAAGUUAAGAAAAUUUACUGAUUUGCUGGUUGUAGGUGUAAUCAUCAUUUUCACAUGUAUUUUGUUCAUGUUGGUGUAAUGAUUUACACGGGUACUUGUUGUUUUCUUAUCAUGUAUGUUGUUUUGUUUUGGUCUCUCACGGGUAUUACAUGUAUUUUGACUACGGACGUGUUGGUCUCUGUCACGGGUACUUGUUGUUGGUGUAAUCAUGUAUGUUCUUUUG